rnacentral:rRNA from 1 species
GACGAACGCUGGCGGCGUGCUUAACACAUGCAAGUCGAACGGAAAGACCCUGCUUUUGUGGGGUGCUCGAGUGGCGAACGGGUGAGUAACACGUGAGUAACCUGCCCUUGACUUUGGGAUAACUUCAGGAAACUGGGGCUAAUACCGGAUAGGAGCUCCUGCUGCAUGGUGGGGGUUGGAAAGUUUCGGCGGUUGGGGAUGGACUCGCGGCUUAUCAGCUUGUUGGUGGGGUAGUGGCUUACCAAGGCUUUGACGGGUAGCCGGCCUGAGAGGGUGACCGGCCACAUUGGGACUGAGAUACGGCCCAGACUCCUACGGGAGGCAGCAGUGGGGAAUAUUGCACAAAGGGCGGAAGCCUGAUGCAGCAACGCCGCGUGCGGGAUGACGGCCUUCGGGUUGUAAACCGCUUUCGCCUGUGACGAAGCGUGAGUGACGGUAAUGGGUAAAGAAGCACCGGCUAACUACGUG